rnacentral:RNase_P_RNA from 1 species
CGAGUUGGCCGGGCGGCCGCGGCGCGCAGUGAUCGCGAGAUCACUGCGCAUCGAGGAAAGUCCGGACUUCACAGAGCAGGGUGAUUGCUAACGGCAAUCCGAGGUGACUCGCGGGACAGUGCCACAGAAAGCAAACCGCCGCCGGACCCACGGGCCCGAUGGUAAGGGUGAAACGGUGCGGUAAGAGCGCACCAGCAUCCCGGGUGACCGGGAUGGCUCGGUAAACCCCACCCGAAGCAAGGCCAAGAGGCCGCACUUGUGCGGCUGCGCAGGCGCUCGAGGGCUGC